rnacentral:rRNA from 1 species
GACGAACGCUGGCGGCGUGCUUAACACAUGCAAGUCGAACGGUGAAGCGCCUUCCUUUUUGGUGGGUGUGGAUGAGUGGCGAACGGGUGAGUAACACGUGAGUAACCUGCCCCCUUCUUCUGGAUAACCGCAUGAAAGUGUGGCUAAUACGGGAUAUUCUGGGUCUGUCGCAUGAUGGGUCUGGGAAAGAUAUUGUUUCGGUGGGGGAUGGGCUCGCGGCCUAUCAGCUUGUUGGUGGGGUGAUGGCCUACCAAGGCGGUGACGGGUAGCCGGCCUGAGAGGGUGGACGGUACCACUGGGGCUGCGACACGGCGCAGACUCCUACGGGAGGCAGCAGUGGGGAAUAUUGCACAAUGGGCGCAAGCCUGAUGCAGCGACGCCGCGUGAGGGAUGGAGUCCUUCGGGUUGUGAACCUCUUUCGCCAGUGAAGCAGGCCUGCCUCGUUUGUGGGUGGGUUGACGGUAGCUGGAUAAGAAGCGCCGGCUAACUACGUG